UGUCCAGACUCCUACGGGAGGCAGCAGUGAGGAAUAUUGGUCAAUGGGCGAGAGCCUGAACCAGCCAAGUCGCGUGAGGGAAGACGGUCCUAUGGAUUGUAAACCUCUUUUGCCGGGGAGCAGUGGUCCGGACGCGUCCGGACCGGGAGAGUACCCGGAGAAAAAGCAUCGGCUAACUCCGUGCCAGCAGCCGCGGUAAUACGGAGGAUGCGAGCGUUAUCCGGAUUUAUUGGGUUUAAAGGGUGCGUAGGCGGGCAUUUAAGCCGGCGGUCAAAUGUCGGGGCUCAACCCCGGCCUGCCGUCGGAACUGGGUGCCUUGAGUGGGCGAGAAGUACGCGGAAUGCGUGGUGUAGCGGUGAAAUGCAUAGAUAUCACGCAGAACUCCGAUUGCGAAGGCAGCGUACCGGCGCCCAACUGACGCUCAUGCACGAAAGCGUGGGUAUCGAACAGGAUUAGAUACCCCCGUAGAC
rnacentral:rRNA from 1 species